UAUGUGUUUGUCUGUUUGCUCUGUCUAUGUGUUGUCCUUGCUCUUUGUCUAGGUGUUUGUCCUGUUUGCUCUUGUUCUAUGGUGUGUGUCCUGUUUGCUCUUGUUCUAUAGUGUUUGUCCUGUUUGCUCUUGUUCUAUAGUGUUUGUCCUGUUUGCUCUUGUUCUAUAGUGUUUGUCCUGUUUGCUCUUGUUCUAUGGUGUUUGUCCUGUUUGCUCUUGUUCUAUGGUGUUUGUUCUGUCCUGUGUGGUUCAGUGAACUGUGGGAGGCCUGAUGUGGACUAUAACGGGAUGGUGUACGGGAACGACUGGUGGGUGGGCUCAGUUGUCCGGUAUGCCUGUCGCUCUGGCUUCCUAUUGGUGGGGGACCCUGCCCGAGCCUGCCAGUCCAAUGGAGGCUGGACCCCCAAACCCUCCUGUCUCAGGGUGUGUCAUCAGGGCCGCGUGGAGAUCACUGAGAAGGAGCUAGAAACAGCUACCUGCUCCUCCACCUGUCCCCUUAAGUCCUACAUGGGGCCUCUUAAGCAGGGCUGCUACGGCAUCGACAACUGCAGGAAGAUGAAUCCUGACUGGAAGCGCUGGUUCACCCGCUGUGACACGUGCCUGUGUGAUUGCCACAUCGCCUGUGCCAUUGGUUGGACUGUCUGUAUUGCUUAAGACUUACCCAGACGUAGAUGGUUGUCCAAAGUCAAAGGUGCUUCCUCACUAACAAUGUUAGUUGUUGAUGAUUUGUCAUUGUCUUAUAAAUCCAACUCUGUGUUUAGACCAUGGAUCUAGAUUCAUUCUAUUUUGAAUCCAUUCUAUU
rnacentral:lncRNA from 1 species